rnacentral:rRNA from 1 species
UACAGAGGGUGCGAGCGUUAAUCGGAAUUACUGGGCGUAAAGGGUUCGUAGGUGGCCACUUAAGUCAGACGUGAAAUCCCUCAGCUUAACUGGGGAACUGCGUCUGAUACUGCGUGGCUUGAGUGCAGGAGAGGAAUGCGGAAUUCCAGGUGUAGCGGUGAAAUGCGUAGAUAUCUGGAGGAAUACCGGUGGCGAAGGCGGCAUCCUGGACCAUUACUGACGCUGAGGCGCGAAAGCUAGGGGAGCAAACGGG